rnacentral:tRNA from 1 species
GUGACAGUAACUCAGUGGUAGAGUAAGAGCAUAGAUACUUCGGUACAGCAAUCUGGUCGGCGGUUCGAAUCCGCUCUGUCACA